UAGAGUGUUACAACUCCCUAAACCAUUGUGAACCUACCUAAGUUGCUUCGGCGGGCUCGCCCCGGUGCCCCCGUGCCCGGAAUCGGCGCCCGCCGCAGGACCCCAAACUCUUGCUUCCGAACAGUGGGAUCACGCACUCUGAGUACAGCGAGAAUGAAUCA
rnacentral:misc_RNA from 1 species